CUUGCCAACAGGUGCUACUUCGGACUGAGUAGGCAAUUGAAAAGUAAAGUCCUCUCUCGACGAACAAAAACCAAACUCUAUAAGUCGCUCAUAAUUCCCGUCCUGCUAUAUGGUGCAGAGGCUUGGACGAUGACAACAACCGAUGAGUCGACGUUGCGAGUUUUCGAGAGAAAAGUUCUGCGGAAGAUUUAUGGUCCUUUGCGCGUUGGCCACGGCGAAUACCGCAUCCGAUGGAACGAUGAGCUGUACGAGAUAUACGACGACAUCGACAUAGUUCAGCGAAUUAAAAGACAGCGGCUACGCUGGCUAGGUCAUGUUGUCCGGAUGGAUGAAAACACUCCAGCUCUGAAAGUAUUCGACGCAGUACCCGCCGCGGGAAGCAGAGGAAGAGGAAGACCUCCACUCCGGUGGAAGGACCAAGUGGAGAAGGACCUGGCUUCGCUUGGAAUAUCCAAUUGGCGCCACGUAGCGAAGAGAAGAAACGAUUGGCGCGCUGUUGUUGACUCGGCUAUAAUCGCGUAAGCGGUGCCCACAUACAGAUUUGGCAAUGGCAAUAGCAAUACGUUUGACAGUUAGUAUUCCAUAAAUUCUAUCCUGUAGAAAUGCGCCGUUAUGAAACGGAGCGACCGAUUGACAUGAUUUUCAUUUUUUCUAUAUUCAAUAAAAUAGGAAAGAUAUAUGAACUACGCGGAGAGAAGUAUAGAACCGAGUUUGAGCAAUCUUUUAAUUCAUAUUAGUUGAUGUCCCCAAGUUGUUGUUGAGAGUCGAUAGCUCAUGCAGUCGUUGUCUAAGAGGCCUCCUAGCUAAAUAAAAUUACAAAUAACCGCCCAGGCCUCUACACAACGCCCCAUUUUCUUUUUGGGUCUCUUACCGCCCCCCUUGACGCAGCUUUAGCCGCUGUCGAAUCAUCUGUUCCAUCGGUUGCUUUGGUACCUCAAACUAAAUCAUCUGUUCAAGAAAAUACCACAGUACAAUCUCAGUCCAUGGCCCUAUGGAUCGUUGAAUGAACAAUGCUAAUUCUUUUUUAGCUGGUGGAUAUAGACAUGAUCAAGCUACCACAGCUCUUUUACGAAUGAUCGCAGUUGAUAAUAUGCCUCUGUGUACUACAGAAAGACCAGGAUUCAGAAAAUUUAUUAAAACACUAGAACCGUUGUAUCACAUACCCUGUGAGCCAACUAUAACUAAUGCUAUGAGUCGUAAAUAUCAAGAUUUGUCGAAUAAAAUAAAACUUGAACUGCGACAGACUGAAUCUGUGUGUCUUACUACUGAUAUCUGGACUCACCAACACACAAUGAAAAGCUAUCUUGGCUUAACAGUUCACUAUCUGAAAGAAACUGAGAUGAAGACUGUUGAGCUGGGCGCUUAUCUCAUGGAAAAGAGGAAAACAAUAGAAAAUUUGAGUUUGAAAUUAAGAAAUAUCUUGAUGAUAAUAAAAUAGCAGCAUUCGUUUCAGACGUGGGCGCAAACAUCAAAGGAGCUAUUAAAAGUGAGUUCGGCGAUGGGAAACACAUUUCCUGUUUUGGACAUGUAAUAAAUAAUUUUGGUCAGCGCCUUAUCAAAUUAAUAUUACUCAACCUGCAUCUGAAUCUCAAAAUAAAGUUUCCGACUUACUCGUUGAUGAAAAUGAUGCUAUUGACAAUCUAGAAGACUUAAUUACAGAUCAUACUGAGCAAUCGUCAUUGCGUGAGCUAUUGUCAAAAGUUAAAAAAAUUGUCACAUUCUAUCGACAAAGUGAAAGAGCGACUACAAAGCUGCUGAAAUUACAGAAGGACAAGCCUGAAAAUUCUCGUCUGAAAUUAAUUCAGGAAGUGCGAACGAGAUGGAACUCCUGUUUUGAAAUGGUUGACCGUUUCAUUGUGCUUGCUGAUCAUGUCAGUGAAGUGCUUUUACAAGUGAAGAUAGACAAAUCUUCGAAGGCGAAGCCACCUAACAUGAUCAUAGGUGAGGAAAUCGAUGCGUUAAUAGAAGUACGUGACAUCUUAAAACCUCUCUUGCGAGUAACUUAAGAAGUUUGUUUUGAGAAAUGUGUAACAUUGAGCGGUUGUUAACUCGGCUAUAAUCGCAUAAGCGGUGUCUGCGCCAAUUGAGAAGAAGAGUAACAUUGAGCAUGUGCAUUCCUUUGAUUUCAAGCCUUAGAAAAAAGAUUGAAGAGUUAACGCCAGAAACUUUAAUUGGGCGACAUUUGAAAAAUAGAAUGGUUCAAGACAUCGAAACAAAAUACGGCAAUAUUGAAUCUGUAAAACUGUACGCUUGUGCAACAUUGGUUGAUCCUCGUUAUAAAAAGAUUGGUUUUCAAAGUAUUCGGGAUUCUGCACGAGCGGUAAUUAAUGUCGAACGAGAAUUAGCAUUGGCAGCAAGAGCAACGGUAGCAAAUAUAUAUUCAAGGUCCGGAAUAUCAGAAAACGAACGAUGACAAUGAUGAUAUAUGGUCUUAUUUUGAUAACACUUUGAGUUGUAGUUCCAAUCUUGCAGAUUCUGAUGAGGCUGGAAGAUUACUAAUACAAUUAUGACAAUAUUUGACACGCCCGGCUGCAAUCGGAAACAAAAUCCUAAUCCGUUCACUGUGUGGGAAAGUAGGAAAUUUGAAUAUCCGUAUCUAUGGAAUGUAGCUAAAAAGUACUUCCCAAUAGUUGCAACGUCUGUACCCUGUGAGCGAUUAUUUUCACAUGCAGGACUUAUCGCAAAUCUGUUGAGGAGUCGCUUAUCACCUCAGCAUCUUAAUGAGCUAAAAUUUUUAAGAUCAAUCGGUGAAGAAAUGUGGUUUUCGUAGUUAUUUAUUUUUAAAUUUUUUGUUUUUUAAUUAAAAAAAGCAAUUUUAUUAUCCAAUACCAAAUUGUAUGCAAUAAAAUCAUAAAAUACUUUUUAUAAUAUGAUAAAAACUUAAAAAAUAUGAUUGUACGUUCAUAAUUUAAUAAAAUAUUGAUAUAUCUAACG